AAAUUGUACGGUUGCAUCCGCAGAUCAUCUGCGCCAUCGAUUGAGACAGCCCUCAGCAGGGGAGCUGCUCCCUUCCGCACCUACGUCGAAAACGUGCUCGGAACUUACGGUGUUUCAUCGGCCGCUGCUGGCGUGGUU
rnacentral:SRP_RNA from 1 species